CUUGCAUAGGGGCGUGCUAUACAUGCAGUCGAGCGAACGGACGAGAAGCUUGCUUCUCUGAUGUUAGCGGCGGACGGGUGAGUAACACGUGGAUAACCUACCUAUAAGACUGGGAUAACUUCGGGAAACCGGAGCUAAUACCGGAUAAUAUUUUGAACCGCAUGGUUCAAAAGUGAAAGACGGUCUUGCUGUCACUUAUAGAUGGAUCCGCGCUGCAUUAGCUAGUUGGUAAGGUAACGGCUUACCAAGGCAACGAUGCAUAGCCGACCUGAGAGGGUGAUCGGCCACACUGGAACUGAGACACGGUCCAGACUCCUACGGGAGGCAGCAGUAGGGAAUCUUCCGCAAUGGGCGAAAGCCUGACGGAGCAACGCCGCGUGAGUGAUGAAGGUCUUCGGAUCGUAAAACUCUGUUAUUAGGGAAGAACAUAUGUGUAAGUAACUGUGCACAUCUUGACGGUACCUAAUCAGAAAGCCACGGCUAACUACGUGCCAGCAGCCGCGGUAAUACGUAGGUGGCAAGCGUUAUCCGGAAUUAUUGGGGCGUAAAGCGCGCGUAGGCGGUUUUUUAAGUCUUGAUGUGAAAGCCCACGGCUCAACCGUGGAGGGUCCAUUGGAAACUGGGAAAACUUUGA
rnacentral:rRNA from 1 species